rnacentral:rRNA from 1 species
GGGUUGUGAGGUUAAGCGACUAAGCGUACACGGUGGAUGCCCUGGCAGUCAGAGGCGAUGAAGGACGUGCUAAUCUGCGAUAAGCGUCGGUAAGGUGAUAUGAACCGUUAUAACCGGCGAUUUCCGAAUGGGGAAACCCAGUGUGAUUCGUCACACUAUCAUUAACUGAAUCCAUAGGUUAAUGAGGCGAACCGGGGGAACUGAAACAUCUAAGUACCCCGAGGAAAAGAAAUCAACCGAGAUUCCCCCAGUAGCGGCGAGCGAACGGGGAGCAGCCCAGAGCCUGAAUCAGUGUGUGUGUUAGUGGAAGCGUCUGGAAAGGCGCGCGAUACAGGGUGACAGCCCCGUACACAAAAAUGCACAUGCUGUGAGCUCGAUGAGUAGGGCGGGACACGUGGUAUCCUGUCUGAAUAUGGGGGGACCAUCCUCCAAGGCUAAAUACUCCUGACUGACCGAUAGUGAACCAGUACCGUGAGGGAAAGGCGAAAAGAACCCCGGCGAGGGGAGUGAAAAAGAACCUGAAACCGUGUACGUACAAGCAGUGGGAGCACGCUUAGGCGUGUGACUGCGUACCUUUUGUAUAAUGGGUCAGCGACUUAUAUUCUGUAGCAAGGUUAACCGAAUAGGGGAGCCGAAGGGAAACCGAGUCUUAACUGGGCGUUAAGUUGCAGGGUAUAGACCCGAAACCCGGUGAUCUAGCCAUGGGCAGGUUGAAGGUUGGGUAACACUAACUGGAGGACCGAACCGACUAAUGUUGAAAAAUUAGCGGAUGACUUGUGGCUGGGGGUGAAAGGCCAAUCAAACCGGGAGAUAGCUGGUUCUCCCCGAAAGCUAUUUAGGUAGCGCCUCGUGAAUUCAUCUCCGGGGGUAGAGCACUGUUUCGGCAAGGGGGUCAUCCCGACUUACCAACCCGAUGCAAACUGCGAAUACCGGAGAAUGUUAUCACGGGAGACACACGGCGGGUGCUAACGUCCGUCGUGAAGAGGGAAACAACCCAGACCGCCAGCUAAGGUCCCAAAGUCAUGGUUAAGUGGGAAACGAUGUGGGAAGGCCCAGACAGCCAGGAUGUUGGCUUAGAAGCAGCCAUCAUUUAAAGAAAGCGUAAUAGCUCACUGGUCGAGUCGGCCUGCGCGGAAGAUGUAACGGGGCUAAACCAUGCACCGAAGCUGCGGCAGCGACACUAUGUGUUGUUGGGUAGGGGAGCGUUCUGUAAGCCUGUGAAGGUGUACUGUGAGGUAUGCUGGAGGUAUCAGAAGUGCGAAUGCUGACAUAAGUAACGAUAAAGCGGGUGAAAAGCCCGCUCGCCGGAAGACCAAGGGUUCCUGUCCAACGUUAAUCGGGGCAGGGUGAGUCGACCCCUAAGGCGAGGCCGAAAGGCGUAGUCGAUGGGAAACAGGUUAAUAUUCCUGUACUUGGUGUUACUGCGAAGGGGGGACGGAGAAGGCUAUGUUGGCCGGGCGACGGUUGUCCCGGUUUAAGCGUGUAGGCUGGUUUUCCAGGCAAAUCCGGAAAAUCAAGGCUGAGGCGUGAUGACGAGGCACUACGGUGCUGAAGCAACAAAUGCCCUGCUUCCAGGAAAAGCCUCUAAGCAUCAGGUAACAUCAAAUCGUACCCCAAACCGACACAGGUGGUCAGGUAGAGAAUACCAAGGCGCUUGAGAGAACUCGGGUGAAGGAACUAGGCAAAAUGGUGCCGUAACUUCGGGAGAAGGCACGCUGAUAUGUAGGUGAAGUCCCUCGCGGAUGGAGCUGAAAUCAGUCGAAGAUACCAGCUGGCUGCAACUGUUUAUUAAAAACACAGCACUGUGCAAACACGAAAGUGGACGUAUACGGUGUGACGCCUGCCCGGUGCCGGAAGGUUAAUUGAUGGGGUCAGCGCAAGCGAAGCUCUUGAUCGAAGCCCCGGUAAACGGCGGCCGUAACUAUAACGGUCCUAAGGUAGCGAAAUUCCUUGUCGGGUAAGUUCCGACCUGCACGAAUGGCGUAAUGAUGGCCAGGCUGUCUCCACCCGAGACUCAGUGAAAUUGAACUCGCUGUGAAGAUGCAGUGUACCCGCGGCAAGACGGAAAGACCCCGUGAACCUUUACUAUAGCUUGACACUGAACAUUGAGCCUUGAUGUGUAGGAUAGGUGGGAGGCUUUGAAGUGUGGACGCCAGUCUGCAUGGAGCCGACCUUGAAAUACCACCCUUUAAUGUUUGAUGUUCUAACGUUGACCCGUAAUCCGGGUUGCGGACAGUGUCUGGUGGGUAGUUUGACUGGGGCGGUCUCCUCCUAAAGAGUAACGGAGGAGCACGAAGGUUGGCUAAUCCUGGUCGGACAUCAGGAGGUUAGUGCAAUGGCAUAAGCCAGCUUGACUGCGAGCGUGACGGCGCGAGCAGGUGCGAAAGCAGGUCAUAGUGAUCCGGUGGUUCUGAAUGGAAGGGCCAUCGCUCAACGGAUAAAAGGUACUCCGGGGAUAACAGGCUGAUACCGCCCAAGAGUUCAUAUCGACGGCGGUGUUUGGCACCUCGAUGUCGGCUCAUCACAUCCUGGGGCUGAAGUAGGUCCCAAGGGUAUGGCUGUUCGCCAUUUAAAGUGGUACGCGAGCUGGGUUUAGAACGUCGUGAGACAGUUCGGUCCCUAUCUGCCGUGGGCGCUGGAGAAUUGAGGGGGGCUGCUCCUAGUACGAGAGGACCGGAGUGGACGCAUCACUGGUGUUCGGGUUGUCAUGCCAAUGGCACUGCCCGGUAGCUAAAUGCGGAAGAGAUAAGUGCUGAAAGCAUCUAAGCACGAAACUUGCCCCGAGAUGAGUUCUCCCUGACUCCUUGAGAGUCCUGAAGGAACGUUGAAGACGACGACGUUGAUAGGCCGGGUGUGUAAGCGCAGCGAUGCGUUGAGCUAACCGGUACUAAUGAACCGUGAGGCUUAACCUUACAACGCCGAAGGUGUUU